rnacentral:tRNA from 1 species
GAGGGUAUAGCUCAGUGGUAGAGUGCAUGAUUACCAUGCACGAUGUCCUGGGUUCAAUCCCCAGAACCUCCA